rnacentral:rRNA from 1 species
AGAGUUUGAUCAUGGCUCAGGACGAACGCUGGCGGCAUGCCUAACACAUGCAAGUCUAGGGUGUAGCAAUACACACUGGCGCACGGGUGAGUAACACGUAGAUCAUCUGCCCCUAUCACCGACAUAACUCUUGGAAACGGGAGCUAAUAUCGGAUGAGGUGAGCAAUCAUCAAAGUUUCGACGGAUAGGGAUGAGUCUGCGUCUGAUUAGGUAGUUGGUGAGGUAAUGGCUCACCAAGCCUACGAUCAGUAGCUGGUCUGAGAGGACGAACAGCCACACUGGAACUGAGACACGGUCCAGACUCCUACGGGAGGCAGCAGUGAGGAAUAUUGGACAAUGGGAGCAAUCCUGAUCCAGCAAUGCCGCGUGUGGGAUGACGGGGCUUUGCCUUGUAAACCACUGUCGGACGGGACGAGAAGAGGUAAGAACCUCUGGGACGGUACCGUCAAAGGAAGGAUCGGCUAACUACGUGCCAGCAGCCGCGGUAAUACGUAGGAUCCAAGCGUUGUCCGGAUUUACUGGGUAUAAAGGGUGCGUAGGCGGCUUUUUGCGUCAGAGGUGAAAUCCACGGGCUUAACCCGUGGGGUGCCUUUGAAACGGGAAGGCUUGAGUAUGACAGAGGCGGAUGGAAUUCCUGGUGUAGCAGUGAAAUGCGUAGAUAUCAGGAGGAACACCGGUGGCGAAGGCGGUCCGCUGGGUCAUAACUGACGCUGAGGCACGAAAGCGUGGGGAUCGAACAGGAUUAGAUACCCCGGUAGU